rnacentral:rRNA from 1 species
AGGGUUCGAUCAUGGCUCAGGACGAACGCUGGCGGCGUGCUUAACACAUGCAAGUCGAACGGAGGCCUGACUGGAAGUUUUCGGACGGAAGGGCAGGACUUAGUGGCGGACGGGUGAGUAACGCGUGAGCAAUUUGCCCUUUGGAGGGGGAUAACAGCGGGAAACCGUUGCUAAUACCGCAUACGACAUAUCCAUCACAUGAGGGAUAUGUGAAAGGAGAAAUCCGCCGAAGGAUGAGCUCGCGUCCCAUUAGGUAGUUGGUGAGGUAACGGCUCACCAAGCCGACGAUGGGUAGCCGGACUGAGAGGUUGGCCGGCCACACUGGAACUGAGACACGGUCCAG